rnacentral:rRNA from 1 species
UACGGGGGGGGCAAGCGUUGUUCGGAAUUACUGGGCGUAAAGGGCGCGUAGGCGGGCUGCUAAGUCUGGGGUGAAAUCCCACGGCUCAACCGUGGAACUGCCUCGGAUACUGGCGGCCUCGAGGGAGGUAGGGGCAUGCGGAACUGCGGGUGGAGCGGUGAAAUGCGUUGAUAUCCGCAGGAACUCCGGUGGCGAAGGCGGCAUGCUGGACCUCUUCUGACGCUGAGGCGCGAAAGCCAGGGGAGCAAACGGG